AUCAUUGGUCUAUUUUCCAUUGUACUUAAUAUUAUAGUUGACCUCUGGGUUUGAACUAUUCAAAAAUAGGUUUAUAUGUACAAAAAUUCUACUUACUAGUGUUAUUGCUAUGAGAGAUUUUCCAUUCUGGAAUAGACCCAAUCACUGUACCACCUAUAACUGCAUUUGCCACUCUAGUCUUUCUUUUGAUUUUCCAGCUACUAGAUAUGAUUAAACCUGUAAUAAAUGGAGUGAAGCCUCUAUAUUACAUUCUCCAGGGAGUUUUUUGUGGUAAUUUAUUAAAUAAAAAGAUAAAUUCUGUUGGGCUAAUAUAUUUGUUUUAAUUGAGCUUUGAGGGUGUUGUACAUUUGAAUGACUUUUACCCAGUAGAUACUGAAAUAUGUUUUUUAAUUAUAAGUUUGGUGUACAUAUGUGGGAAACCAGCAAAGUUCCAUAUAGUAUAGUCUUGGCUUAGUGAGAUAAAAGUUAUAGAAGAGGACAUUGGAAAUCUAGCCACACUGUGGCUAAUAGGCUUGGUUCUCUGAAAUAAAAGUAUAAUUCAGGGCCAAUAAUGUGGAAGGCAUUGAGAAGCAUAUCCACCAAGGAGCAACAUUAUGGUCAUUUUGUCUUUGUUAUUACUUACUGCUUUAUUCUGAGAACAAUACAGGCAUUAAAGUUCUAGAAGCUUCACAGAUCAUUAAUCAUCAACAUAAAUUCAGUGAAUUAGAAUUCUUUCUUCAAAAGUAUGUGUCAACUUCAGAUUGCAGAUUUGCCAAAGCUUCAUGUAGAGCCCUUCUCUCUUUUAUCACGAGUAAAAGUUCAGGUUUAAAAUAGAACAACGGAUGACUAAUGCCAUUUCCAGCUGUGACUGAAUUCUCCACUGCCUGAUGCUUUUCAAAUGUAUCUGAAUCAGAAUCGAACACCCACUUUAUGCAUAGCUCCCUAAUCAGGAAGUUAUUCUUCCCAUCAAAGCAACUGGAAAGAAAAAAGAUAAAACAAUGAAGGGAGGAGAAAACACAAAAGUUCAAGAAGAGCAGAAUGUUCCGGCAAGGAGAAAAAGCUGGGAAAAGUCACCAAUGAAUGCCAGGGUUCACCACUAUCUUAGGAAUAUCAUGAAUAAAGCGUUAGAUUGGGUGUGCCCUAACUGAUGGUCACAAGCAUGAUACUAAUUAUCAGGGUGAACAAAGCAGGGGAGUAAGAGCAUCAGUAACUGUGAAACUCUAGGAGUUUGUCUUCAUUCUUUCAGUGAUAGGUACUGAGUGUUUCCCAUGUGUCAUACCCUAUGCCAGGUGCUGGGGAUGCAAUGGUAAAGGAACAGACCUGGCAAUAUUCCUCAUGGAGCUUGUGGUCUAGGACUGAAUGGGUCCCGUCAAUUUCAAAUAACAGCCAUGCUUGUUAUAAAUGAUGAUAGAUUUUCUACUCAAAAGAAACGAGUGUAGUUUAUUUCCACUUCUGUGGCUUCUAGAACUUUUUCCAUAAUGUAACCCUGAAGGAGAGCAUUAUAUUCAAAUUGGGGAUGAUGUUUUAAAUUAUUUUUAGCCCCAGUCCCAUCCUAUUAGUAUAAAUGGUUGAGACUGUGGUGUUUCCAUUUCCCUAGUGUAUAUUAUGUGCUUCCUGGUGACUUUCUAAGUCAAGAACUGUAAUUGCCCAGGGAGCAUGAUUACAUUCUCAGUGCUCUACUUUAACACCCUCACUUUUUCAUACAUUCAUGAAUCAAGCCUUAAGCUCCUACUAUGUGGGGCUUUAGGGGUGAUGAAAGCAUAAUUUCAUCAGCUUAAACUCUAGUGAGGAAAACAGACCUGACAUAUGCAACAAAUUAUAAUGCCAAGUAAUAAGUUCCAAAGGCCAGAUAUCUCACUGUCACUGGAGAUGUCAUCUCAUUAGAGAUGUCUCUUUCUAAAAUGCAAAUUUCACCUUCUUCAAAUUUACAACUUUCAUGAUCAAAUUCAAAUUCCUUGACAAGGAAGUCAGGAUCUAGGCUCAGCCUCACCCUGCAGCCCUGUUUUCUGCCUAUCACAUGGGCAUCUUCUGUUCCAGCUGAACACAUGACUGCAGAUACCCCUAUACCUGUCUUUCAAGUUCACGCCUCUAUCUUCUUAAACUCAGGACUCUAUGUCUAGAAUGCACAACUAACCUAAUUCUAUGCAGCCUUCAAAACUCAGAGAAAGCAUUAUUUUCUCUACAGAAUUUCUUCUCUCCACCUCUAUCCCUUACAAUCCAUGUUAGAUAUCCCGCCUCCAUGCACAGAAGCCUCUAUCCACCUAUCACAACACUUAUCUCACUGUAUUACAAUUGUUGGUCUGCUUUUCCAUCUCCUCCAAUGGAUUGACAAUAAGCACUUUGGGGUAAGAGGCUAUGUCUUACAAAUAAAUAGAUUAGUAUUAUGGGAGUACAUAUAAUUGAUAAAAAAAUGAACGGAUAAAUAUUAUAGGAGCACAGAAGAAAAA